rnacentral:lncRNA from 1 species
ACUUGUUCAACUUCUAGACAUUUUGCUCUAUUACUCGUUCCUACUUCCUUAUAUAUUAAGGGUCAUCCUAUUUCGUGUAUCCCUCCCGAUUAACCACCAGAAUGAUGGGGUGAAGAAUAGAUAGGAAGAACUAGAAUAUGAUGUGAAGAGGAAUGAUGAGAUGAUCUGCAGAGAUUAGAUAUGAAAUAUUGUAGAGAUUUGGUUGAAAUGUUGAGGAAUUUCUUGAGAAAUUGAUUGAUCACAGAAACAAAAAGCUGUACAAACUAAUUAGUAUUAGCAACUAAUCCUUAAAACACUAGAUAAUAAAAACAAGAUUUAAAGCAAAUGAAAAAGAAGAGUUGAAAUGAGAAGUUAAUAUUUGGUUUAGGUUAAUAUAAUAAUAGGGGAUCAAGUUAUGAUUAAUUGUGAGUUGUGGCCACUCAACAAACAAACACUCGAGAGGAAUUGCAGGCAUCAAGCACUAAUUGGGCAAAAAAUCAUGCCUCUUACUGUUCUUUAAU